UACGUAGGGUGCAAGCGUUAAUCGGAAUUACUGGGCGUAAAGCGUGCGCAGGCGGUUAUUCAAGACAGAUGUGAAAUCCCCGGGCUCAACCUGGGAACUGCAUUUGUGACUGGAUGACUAGAGUACGGCAGGGGGGGGAUGGAAUUCCGCGUGUAGCAGUGAAAUGCGUAGAUAUGCGGAGGAACACCGAUGGCGAAGGCGGCGACCUGGACGGACACUGACGCUGAGACGCGAAAGCGUGGGGAGCAAACAGG
rnacentral:rRNA from 1 species